CUACAAUGCUUGAAAUAAAUCAAUAGAUAAAUUUAAAAAAUAAUCUAAUAUUGCAGAAGCAGGCCCGACAUGUCUUCUUUUGAAACUGGUUGUGGACAUGACGUGUUUAAGAAAAAGCAUAAUUUACUGCUUACACGUCUAGGAAGCAUAAAGCAGGCUCAUCUGAAAAUUUUAUUAUGUAUAUGCUGCUUUUGAGGCCCAUUUUUAUAGGGUUCAGUUUUCUCAGACUUAAAGUUAGUGCUUCAUGUGUUGCCACAGAUUUGAAAUGUGUUUUUGACCUGUGUGAGUGUUAACUUCAUGCUGUCAAAGAGCUUAUUUGUCAUUUUAAGACCACGUGAAGGAGGGAUGCUCUGUAUCAUGUCCAGUAUCAUGCGGUGUAGCUUUACAGAUCGUGUCAGACCGUGGAACAAGUGAAAAAAAUUAUUAACGAUUUGUGAUCUUCACUGGUGUCCAUGGAUUAAAUGAAAUGCUCUUCACCUUUACCCACCUGUGUUAUGCUAGGGAUAACCCGUCAAUGUAAGGAUCACGUCAUCUGGACCCCAUAGGAUAGCACAGAAGACAUCAACUAUCAUCAAAUUCUAAAAAGAGAGGAAUAGAAGAAGCCGACACCAACCGUGGACUGGCCUGUGAGACACCUGGUGCAUCACAGCGCUGUCAACAGGCAACAACAUCAGAAGAGGAUUGAGCGGGAAAACCAAGCUGGAGCAGCGUCCAAAGCCGGAUUGAGAGCUGUCUGUUCGGGUCUCCUGGCGUCCCGGACACCACUGGAGCUCAGUGUACCCUACCUCGGGUUGGCAACAGUUGCUGCCACUGUACCCAAGGGGCGUGGCUCUGAGACUUUGCAAGCCAUCUUCAGGUUCCAGGUCAGUCAGCUCCAGAGCCACAGUCAGUGAGACGGCUACGCUUGAAGCCCAAACUACACACGAUGCAACCCAAGAACCCUGCUGCUAAGAACAUUGGAACGACAGAACUCUGCAGGCCAUCAGGAUCUACUUCUGUAAAACACAAAGAGAACAUCUGAGUUCUGACGGAACCAUGAACUGGUCCAGUAUGUGGACUCUACUCUCAUUGGCCCUCUGGACGGGCAGGGGGAGCUUGAACUCAGCAGGGAGCUUGUCCUCAGUGUAACCUGUCUGUGAAGAACAUCCUCUGAAUCCGACAGUUGGCAUGAAUCUGAUGAAAACGACAAGCUAAGAUCAAACAAUCUGCCGUAAAACAUUUCCUCGCCAGCUUCACGUCCACAAACCUGGAUUCACGGCGUCCCUGUUAAGUCGGAUCGGAAGGAGGACUUUGUUGUUAUUACCGACAGGUUGACGGUCUUGUGGCUCCACCCGUCCCCAAGGUUUAAGGCCAAGAUGCACCUGAAGUGGUCCACCUUGUUUUCCUUUUGGAUGGUGGGGAAUUUGAUCCAUUGGCGGACCGUUUUAUCAUCCAAAAUCUGGACUUCAAAAGAGAAAUACUUUUUCCAGUUUUUCACCAACAGGACCAGGAGUCCUUUAGCAGAGUCUCCGGAUAUUCAGAUCCGAAGGAUGCUUUCUUUAAAUCCGACAGGUUAACCCUUGUGCUAUCUUAGAUGACCCCACCCUUACAUUUACGUGU